GAGGGGCUGCUCAGUGCUUGCUAUCAUGUGUGCCCCAACUAUACCAAUUUCCAGUUUGACACAUCGUUCAUGUACAUGAUCGCCGGACUCUGCAUGCUGAAGCUCUACCAGAAGCGGCACCCGGACAUCAAUGCCAGUGCCUACAGUGCCUAUGCCUGCCUGGCCAUUGUCAUCUUCUUCUCUGUGCUGGGCGUGGUCUUUGGCAAAGGGAACACGGCGUUCUGGAUCGUCUUCUCCAUCAUUCACAUCAUCGCCACCCUGCUUCUCAGCACGCAGCUCUAUUACAUGGGCCGCUGGAAACUGGACUCAGGGAUCUUCCGCCGCAUCCUCCAUGUGCUCUACACAGACUGCAUCCGGCAGUGCAGCGGGCCGCUCUACGUGGACCGCAUGGUGCUGCUGGUCAUGGGCAACGUCAUCAACUGGUCGCUGGCUGCCUAUGGGCUUAUCAUGCGCCCCAAUGAUUUCGCCUCCUACUUGUUGGCCAUUGGCAUUUGCAACCUGCUCCUUUACUUCGCCUUCUACAUCAUUAUGAAGCUCCGGAGUGGGGAAAGGAUCAAGCUCAUCCCCCUGCUCUGCAUCGUUUGCACCUCCGUGGUCUGGGGCUUCGCACUCUUCUUCUUCUUCCAGGGACUCAGCACCUGGCAGGUGAGCACUCACCCACAGGCUCCUUGUGAGCCAACAAGUGCCCAGUCCUCUUUUUAAACAUCGGGGCUGGGCCUGGGAUUACCUGUAAUCCCAGCAUGUUGGGAAGCUGAGGCAGGAGGAUCACUUGAGGCGUUCAAGACCAGCCUGGGCAAUAUAGUAAGAACCCGUCUCUACAAAAAAUAAAAAAA
rnacentral:sRNA from 1 species